UUUUUACAGUCAGAAAAAAAAACAGAAACACACACGGGCUCUCCUCUCUCUCCCUCGCCUCCCGAUCCCAGCCGCCAGGAGGCGCCCCACCCCGCGCGACCUCGAUCCGGUGCCGCGCCGAUCUGGCGGCGGGUGCAGCGUCUUGCUCUGGUGGCGACAUGAGAAAGAGAGAUAGUGCGUGAGGGAGAGAGGAAAGAGAGGAAGAAAGGAGAAGGAGAAGGGGCACAAGGUGAGGGAGGCGGUCGCCGGCGGUGGUGGUUCCGGUGACCGGCAGGCGGGCAGGGAGACGAGCUCCUGUUGAGGUGGCGGAGCUCAGUGCGGGCUGGUUCCUCCGGAUCGAGCCUUGGCUCUCCCGAGGCAUGCGGUUGCGGGCUUGGAUCGGGGUGAUCCUUCUCCCCCGCCCUCCCCCUCCAUGGCAACGACACAAGUUGCGCAGGCAGUUGGAGAGUGCCGAUUUCGAUACGAGUGUGUCAAUCUUCACUCCGGAGCAGAUCCAAGGGAUUGUUGAGAAAUACUCCAGUUGACAUAUUUGAAGAGAUGAGAGAUUUACAUCGCAUCCAGUCUUCUCCCUCUACUAUAGCUGAUGGUUGUAUUCCACCCAUACACGAAGCAUAUAAUUACCAUCUAGCUUUACUUCAUGUAAUCUGAACUUUGCUCAGUGAAAGACUACAUGUGUACUAAUUACAUUGGCAGUGGCACCUGUUGGAACCGUCCACCUGGCUCCCGGGGCGAACAUCGCCGCCACCCCGCUGUCGAUUCCCACCCAAGCUGCUAGCCUCCUUGUGGUGGUGGUCUUCACCCUCUUUCAUAACCAUGAAGUGGAUCAUCGUUGUGACGUUGUCCAGCACUGGUGAGAAGGGUGGCCCGCGUCGAGACGUCCAAGGUUGGGUGGUCUGCAGGUCAGGCUCGUUAGGAUGGUGACUGGCAAGAUGGAGAUGAAUACAGAUGUGUCCUUCACCCUCGACAAUGACACUGGCUGCAUCAAUUUUUCAUCAGAUGGUGAGAGCGUCUCGUUGAAUUGCACACUUUCUAAUGAAGUUUCAGAUGUAUCUUAGCGGUACAAUGUUAUACUUUUGUGCUCUCAGUGCCACUGCUGGAUGUUGACUUGGUUGUGGGAUUUGUCAAAUGCCAAUCUUAAAUAGAAAUAAGUUAGGCUGGCUGUUACGACAAUGCAGGCACCAAGCAGAACUUAGUAACUGGAAAUCUGCAAGUUCUUAAUCAUCUCUGGUUUGAUAAAAUAACUAUUUGAGAGAGAGAUAUAUUACUGUAAAAUUCUUAAACUUUGCGGCAGAUGGAUUUUGCGGCUUUGGAUUUUCCUCUCUCUUGAUUUUUCAAAUUGAUGUGGCUGUAGAAACUUGAGGCUGAAUUUAUUAAUUGGUGUGGAUGCGACCUGGAUUGUGCAAUUAUUUUACAAAUUCGUUGAAAGCUUGAUUGGUAGGUUUGCUUACUUGUUUUUAGAGGUAAUAUCACCCGAAGUCAUUGAACUUGCGUCGCACGUUCAGUUUGGUGCUAGAACUUUGAAAAUACGGUUUUCUGGUCACAUAACUUAACUCAAGCGUGCAGAUACGGUCACACUACGCAUAUGCGGGCGUAUCCAUGUGUAUGGCCCGACUUGUCAGUGACUGAUGACGCUGUGUGUGAUGUAUUUUUACACAGAACACUCUGAAAAUAAUUAUUUUCUGAAACAAUCAACCACAGCGACGUAUUUUUUUGCAAAACACCCUCAAAUUAUUUUUUAAAGAAAAGCAGGACCAUGAUACUGUACAUAUAUGUAUUUUGUCUAAUAUGGAUAAUCAACAUAUAUGUACUUCACAGGGACUCAUAUGGAGCUUAAUUGAGCUGCGGGUACCACGACCCAUUUUGCACACACUAUUUAUUAAAAGAUAAUUUGUAAGUAAUAAAGGUAGGUUCACAUAUUUGUGUGUUAAAAAAAUAUUAUAUAUACAAAUAACAAUUAGUAGAUAAAAACAUUUAAAUAUACACUUGCGG
rnacentral:rRNA from 1 species